GCUGGGUGCAGUGGCUUACUCCUGUAAUCCCAGUGACUCAGGAGGCUGAGGCAGGAGGAUCGUGAGCUCAAAGCCAGCCUCAGCAAAAAGCGAUAUGCUAAGCAACUCAGUGAGACCCUGUCUCUA
rnacentral:sRNA from 1 species